UGCGUAGGCGGGGCAAUUAGUCAGUGGUGAAAUCCUGCGGCUUAACCGUAGAACUGCCAUUGAUACUGGUGCCCUUGAGUAUAGUUGAGGUGGGCGGAAUGUGUAAUGUAGCGGUGAAAUGCAUAGAGAUUACACAGAACACCAAUUGCGAAGGCAGCUCACUAAGCUAUAACUGACGCUGAGGCACGAAAGCGUGGGGAGCGAACAGGAUUAGAUACCCUGGUAGUCC
rnacentral:rRNA from 1 species